rnacentral:rRNA from 1 species
GACGAACGCUGGCGGCGUGCUUAACACAUGCAAGUCGAACGGAAAGGCCCUGCUUUUGUGGGGUGCUCGAUUGGCGAACGGGUGAGUAACACGUGAGUAACCUGCCCUUGACUGUGGGAUAACUUCAGGAAACUGGGGCGAAUACCGGAUAGGAGCUCCUGCUGCAUGGUGGGGGUUGGAAAGUGUCGGCGGUUGUGGAUGGACUCGCGGCUUAUCAGCUUGUUUGUGGGGUAGUGGCUUACCAAGGCUUUGACGGGUAGCCUGCCUGAGAGGGUGACCGGCCACAUUGGGACUGAGAUACGGACCAGACUCCUACGGGAGGCAGCAGUGGGGAAUAUUGCACAAUGGGCGGAAGCCUGAUGCAGCAACGCCGCGUGCGGGAUGACGGCCUUCGGGUUGUAAACCGCUUUCGCCUGUGACGAAGCGUGAGUGACGGUAAUGGGUAAAGAAGCACCGGCUAACUACGUG